UGCGUCACUUCCGCCAGGCGGGUUCUUCUCGUGCGUCGCUGGCUUUUGUUCUUCCAUUUCCGAGGAGCGCGAGAGGAAGCCGCCAACGGCCAUAACGCUGGUAAGGUCCAUAGUGGCGAUAGCGGCCAUAACAAGCAGCGCGGCGCGACGAGUCGAGUGCAGCGCAGACCCGCGGAGUCGCUUUCCUGCUACUCAGUGUCGGAGGACGCGGCCCGGUGUCGGUGAAAGAGCGGAAAGUCGCUAACCGGAGAGGAAGCGUCGGUUCCACUUUUUUUUUCCCAGCCGCCUGACGAGAACAAGAGAAUCGAGCACAAGAUGGAGAACGAAAGCAAGUACCUCCCCGAGCUGUUGGCCGAGAAGGACAGUCUGGACGCGUCGUUCACUCACGCAAUGAAGCUCCUCAACGCAGAAAUUGAGAGGAUUCAGAAAGGCGAGACAAAGAAGGAGGAAGGCGACACCUAUCUGGACCUGUUCACCGUGAAGAAUGUGAAAUUGAAGGAGAGAGUGCUGAUUCCUGUCAAGCAGUACCCCAAGUUCAACUUUGUUGGGAAGAUUCUGGGGCCUCAAGGCAACACAAUCAAGCGUCUCCAGGAAGAGACUGGUGCCAAGAUAUCUGUCCUGGGCAAGGGCUCCAUGAGAGACAAGAACAAGGAGGAGAGUCUGCGUAAGAGCGGCGAGCCAAAGUACGCCCACCUGUCCAUGGAGCUGCAUGUAUUCAUUGAGGUGUUUGCUCCCGUUCCUGAGGCCUAUCUGCGCAUGGCCCAUGCAAUGGAGGAGGUCAAGAAGUUCCUGUUUCCUGACAUGAUGGAUGAUAUCUGCCAGGAGCAGUUUAUGGAGAUGAGCUACCUGAAUGGAGGCCAGGAAUCUGCCACGCGUGGCCGAGGAGGACCCCCAGUCCGAGGACGCGGAGCCCUCCCGCCUCCAUCCCAAGCAGCCAGGGGUAGAGCCUUGCCGCCCCGUGGGGCCGCACCUCGAGGCGGACCAGCGAGAGGCUCGGCUGUGCGGGGUGGCCCCUCUGCCCGAGGUGGACCCCCUACCCAGCCCACAAGGGGCGCAGCAGCAACACGAACCAGACCUCCUGCCCCAGGUCCCCAGCGGAUGCCCCCACCGCACCCGCCUGCCCCCGAACCCUACGAUGAAUACGCAUAUGAAGACAGCUACACAGAGCCAUCUUAUGAGUCAUAUGACAGUUACUACACACAGCCACAAGCAGAACCAGAGUACUACGAUUACGGACAUGGUGAGGCCCAGGAGGUGUACGAGCCCUAUGGUCAGGAUGACUGGAAUGGAACACGGGCUGCUGCUGUUCCUGGGAAAGCUCCGCCCUCAAGGACAACUAAGGGGGCGUACAGGGAGCAUCCGUACGGAAGAUACUGAAAGGGGCAAACAAACUGAGUUGUCAUGUGUCCCCAGCAACUGUCUCCUACGGCAGCUCUCGCUUUAAGCAACCAGACAAAAGCAAAAAAUAUUAGUCGACAGUAUGGUGGACAUUGUAUGGCCUUGGGCAACUCUUGCUGAGCGUCUAGAAGAGGCGGCGUGGGCGUAGUCCAGAACAGCCUGAAAGGACAAGUCCCGGUUUCUCAGCAGAGUGGCAGGCGGAAGAACUGCCUUGAUAUGUGGCUGCCCUCUAUGAAGACAAAGAAGUGAAAGCAGGAGAUGUUCCACUUGCAUGUAUUAGAAGUGUUGGCUCUGUAGGUAGUACAUGUUGGCAGGUGUGGCUGUGGGAGGAGGUGGUAAAUGGUGUUUUGCCCUAGACAAGGCUGUGCCUGAGUGUGUCUGCUGAAGGGAUGAGAUCUACGAGAUGAAGUUUUUUUUCCCCCUCCUUUUAUCCCCCCACAUAUCUUAGCACUGUUUUCCUGUACAUCUUACCAGAGACGACAUGUCGGAGAACUUCUGACCCCUUUUUGAGUUUUUAUCUUAGCUUCUGAGGAAAAAAAUAGCUGUGAGGAUCAGAGCGCCACCUGUCCAGUUGGAUCUGUUCUCUGGCUGUAGAACAGUUAAAUGCUGCAAUGCCAGUGGUGGACGAGACUCUGGAUCCACCGAGGCUUUCUUUUUCUUCUCUGGUUCUGCAGCAGUCCCUUCCUAUGGUGGACCACGCUGUACAGGCUGAGUCUGCCCAUAGAACACAAAAGGGUUACAUGUGCUGUUCAUGCUCCAUGCGAGCUUAUUGCAGUAACUAAGACCACAGUAACGGGUCAUAACUGAGAACUGUAAACCCCCCAUCUAUGAUCAGGUGCUCCAUCUCCAGUCUCCUUGAGGGACACCACUCCAGAGGUGUCAGUGCUUUUUUCAUUGCAGCUGCUGGCUCUGUCGUCUUCAAGGAGCAAAACGUACAUCCAGUUUAAAGGGGGUCCAAUGCUUAUUGUUUCUAUUGUAUAGUCUUAGAUUUGCUUUUUUUAAUGUUGAAAAGCUGGGACUCGGUGCUGUUUUCCCUCACAUACCACUGGACUGUAGGCACCGCCAGCGCGGGUCUGCUGUGGGCUGAAACUAAUAAAAGGAAUUCUAUUAACGACGCAGUGUGAUGCCGGCCGGUUAAAGGCACAGCCGUGCGACCAAGCAGUUGCCAGUUGGGUUCAAGGACAACAGAGGUCCUCUGAGGCAACAUUAUUCCCUCCUCAAUCCAAAAAGCUGCAUAACACAAAACCGCUAGUAGUACAGGAAGAUGGUUGAGUAUUGCAUUCUUGCAUCACUCUGCUUUACUGCUAAUUUGAUUUGGGCGUGCCACUCCUACAAAUUAAUGCAAAUGAGUGCCUGUUUUGCCCCCAGGGUAAUGGAGAUUGCCUUAGCCGCUGCUGCAGCAGCCCAUGGUAUUAUGUACAAAUCGUUUAUUGCUGUGGAUUUAAUAAGCAUUACCUGCGCAAGAUCCACUUAGAAACUGGAAAUCUGGAAACAGCUGUCUGUCAGGGCCAUAAAUGUGAUAAAAUUCCAUAAGGAGUUUAAAAUACUUUUAAAAGAAAACCAUCUUAUGUGUAUAACAGACAAGGGAACCUCUGAACUGCUGACAACUCUGCAGGAGCACAAGCUUCAGCCCAGGUCCUGUCUGCAGGCCCCUCCAGGCUCUGGACUGGAGUGCUUUAAGGUUUGCUAGUCGCCUCACAUGUAAAUCAAGUGUGUUUCAAAAAAAAAAACUUAAACUGGGUUUCCACGGCUGUGAGAACUGGAUUUUGCAGCCCCUCCUUGAGAAAGUUAUAAA